rnacentral:rRNA from 1 species
AGUGGCGAACGGGUGAGUAUCACGUGAGCAACCUGCCCUUGACUUCGGGAUAAGCCCGGGAAACUGGGUCUAAUACCGGAUAUGACCAUCGCCCGCAUGGGCGGUGGUGGAAAGCUUUAUGCGGUCUUGGAUGGGCUCGCGGCCUAUCAGCUAGACGGUGAGGUAGUGGCUCACCGUGGCUUUGACGGGUAGCCGGCCUGAGAGGGUGACCGGCCACACUGGGACUGAGACACGGCCCAGACUCCUACGGGAGGCAGCAGUGGGGAAUAUUGCACAAUGGGCGAAAGCCUGAUGCAGCGACGCCGCGUGCGGGAUGACGGCCUUCGGGUUGUAAACCGCUUUCAGCAGGGAAGAAGCUUUUUGUGACGGUACCUGCAGAAGAAGCGCCGGCUAACUACGUGCCAGCAGCCGCGGUAAUACGUAGGGCGCGAGCGUUAUCCGGAAUUAUUGGGCGUAAAGAGCUCGUAGGCGGUUUGCCGCGUCUGCCGUGAAAAAUCCGGGCUUAACCCGGAUCGUGCGGUGGGUACGGGCAGACUAGAGUGCAGUAGGGGAGACCGGAAUUCCUGGUGUAGCGGUGAAAUGCGCAGAUAUCAGGAGGAACACCGAUGGCGAAGGCAGGUCUCUGGGCUGUUACUGACGCUGAGGAGCGAAAGCAUGGGGAGCGAACAGGAUUAGAUACCCUGGUAGUCCAUGCCGUAAACGUUGGGCACUAGGUGUGGGGAACAUUCCACGUUUUCCGCGCCGUAGCUA